rnacentral:lncRNA from 1 species
GCACCUAUAUAUGCUUAUAAGUUUACUUCAGACAGGGAAACUAAGAAUGCACCAUUGAGGGUAGAAGCAUAGCCCAAUGUUUCCUGUUAAACAGGCACCUGCAAAUGAAGAAUCCCUGCAAAUGAAGAAAGCGGGUGCUAAGUAGGAAAACAUUUGAUGACAGUUUUCCUACUUGCUCUGCAAAUGUUUUAGAGUUUCCCUCUCAUCGCUCCAUUUCAUAUUUUUUUUUAUCAAUAAAAUAUUGAAAAUACUGGCGUUAUUACUUAUUAUUCAUUUCCUAUUCUAUUUUCUCUAUAAGAAGUUAAUUAGUACAAGUAUUGCUAGAGAUCACAAAUGGUAAUAUGAGCCAGAUCAUUACAUUACAGAGAGAUCUAUAAUUUUCAGAGAGAAGGGAUAUGAACUACCUGGCUAUAUCCUCUGAGUGAUCUAUCGUAGAAUCACUGGUUUCAAACAUGUACACGAAGCCAAACGAAUGCAUGAAUUGAACCUGCAUGUUAUCAUUCCACUGAUGUCU